ACUAUGUUUCACUAACAUACUGUUCGAGGCAACAUAUACCUAAUUUAAUUUUCAUCCAUUGUGUUCAGGGCAAUCGGGACAGAUCACACAAUACACUUCACCCAAAGUUACAUACAGGCCUCAUCCAAAACCUUAAAACUCCAUUCAAUAAACAUGACAGACCAAAUACAUACGUUUGUGGAUACAUGCAUGAAAAGAACAUAUAUAAGGACGCUGUGGCCCUAAAGGAAAAGUACACGUGAUUCUGAUGUGGCACACAACAAAAAAUGAGCAUACAAUGGCUUAUGUGCCAAAACAACCACCAAAAUGAGCAGAGUAAAAAUUGUCAAUGUCUCAAGUUCAAUAAACAACAUUACAUAAUCACUCCAACUUAAUUGUAGGUCUUCCAAAUCUUCAGCAGCCUGUAGAUAUUCCACACCUCCAUCAACUUGUGUAUCUUUGUGAAACCUGCAAUGGAUAGGAAACUCCACACGGAGCUCUCAUUUUCGAUUUUAAAUUGACACAUUAAAGAUUUUCACGUGCUACAGUUUAACUCGUCAGCAUAGAUAAAACUCUUCCAAAUGUGCAGCACUUCAUUGUCACAGCAAGCAACAUUACAAGUUAGAUCAAGAAGGAAUUAUUAGCACUACACAUACAAAAAUCUUCCAGGGGCAGAUAUGGCAAAACAUGAACUCAUACAAUUAAUUUGCACUGAACAUACAAGAGCUAACUUCUAAGUACACAAAGUAAUGCCAGGGAGAUGCUCAGACCAUUUUAGUCCAUGGACAAAAACUAAUGUACAAGGCUAGUGCCUCGCCAUUGCUAUGCAAGUAGCUAGGGUUAGGCGUCUAGUGCUCAUAAGAUAUGAUUACGUAGAAGGCGCAGCGUGUUGUGCAAAAGCAAAAAAUCCCCACUACUAACCUGAAUCACAUAAUGCAGCUAAAAUGGACAUAUUUUGUGAUCUUUUAAGUGGGAGUCUAACUUUUUAGUUUCCUGGUUCCAUGCUUUUGUUUUUGCAGUCAAAGUACAUUGAAGCACUUAAGGAGAAAGCAGAACAAUAUAAAAAAAAGAACAGGGCAUAGUGAAUGAGACAAACCUUCAUAAAGAGAGGAGCAUGGAAGUCCCACCUGUUUGCUGGCAAAUACAUGUUUGUAACAUCUAACUAUAGAAAGAAACUUGAAGAGGACAAAACAAUGGCUAGAGGUAGAAAGACAACAGCUUCAAGAAGUCAUGACGCAAUGCUAUUUCCAGUAGGGGCGGCAGUACAAAACACACUCGCCACCAGAAUGACCAUUCUGCUUUGCAUAAUCAGGAGACGAGAUGUUAACGAAGCACAUUAUAUUUGCUGAAUAAUUUUUAAUGCCUUGGCAAGCUGAAGGCUGCGAGCAUUUGUGCCCUUUUGUCUAUACUAUUGUAACAUGUAACUAGUGAUUUGUAACAAGAUUCUCGUAAUGACUCAAAUCAAUAGUAAUUUACCAGUCAGUGUUGGUAUAACUUAGUAGCGGAAUUCUAGGAUACAUGUAGCUUCGUAGUACAGAAAAUUAGGAUAAUGUUCCGUAAUGCUUGCCACAAGGCCAAGUUUAUGCAUGAGUAAUUUCAGGACAAACUGGACAGAGAGAUUAGGAAAUUAGAAACAAAAAAUCUAAUUAUCAUCUAAAUCUAAUCAGAAUCAAAAAAUUAAUCACGACUUCAGAAAAUACUAAUCAAACAUCUAUGUAUUUAAGCAUAAGAACUUCAGGUUACCUUUUUUGCAAAACAGAGGAUACAUGUGCUCAGAUUUCAAGCAAGUUUUUCUGUAAAUUUUAUGCUGGACAGAUUGCUUUGCACUUAAUUAAGGACAAUUGAGAUACGGGUCCAUGAACUAACCCCAAAUAGCAAUAUGAUAAAGCCAAAAGCCUUAAGUUUUCACAGCAACCAUUCCUACAACUACUGAGUCAUCAUGCUGUCACGUCAUUGCAGUACAUAUACUUGUCAUCAAAAAAGGGCAGCCCCAGUGCAUGUAGCUCCCGCUUGCGCAGGGCCUGGGGAAGGGUCCAACCACUUUGGGUCUAUUGUACGCAGCCUUUCCCUACAUUUCUGUAAGAGGCUGUUUCCAGGACUUGAACCCGUGACCUCAUGGUCACAAGGCAGCAGCUUUACCACUGCGCUAAGGCUCCCCUUCACAUAUACUUGUCAUCAGUAUAUAAAAAAUAGAAGAGUGCAC
rnacentral:lncRNA from 1 species